rnacentral:rRNA from 1 species
GACGAACGCUGGCGGCGUGCUUAACACAUGCAAGUCGAGCGGUAAGGCUCCUUCGGGAGUACACGAGCGGCGAACGGGUGAGUAACACGUGAGUAACCUGCCCCUUUCAUCGGAAUAACCAGUGGAAACGCUGGCUAAUGCCGAAUACGACCACCGAAGGCAUCUUCUGGUGGUGGAAAGCUCCGGCGGAAAGGGAUGGACUCGCGGCCUAUCAGCUUGUUGGUGAGGUAAUGGCUCACCAAGGCAACGACGGGUAGCCGGCCUGAGAGGGUGACCGGCCACACUGGGACUGAGACACGGCCCAGACUCCUACGGGAGGCAGCAGUGGGGAAUAUUGGACAAUGGGCGAAAGCCUGAUCCAGCAACGCCGCGUGAGGGAUGACGGCCUCGGUUGUAACUACUUCAGUAGGACGAAGCGAAGUAGACGGUACCGUACCAGAAGAAGGAACGGGCCGAACCUACGUAGCCGACGCAGCCGCCGGUAAACGGAGUAGUAACGA